GCAGGACUAUAAAAUUACCAUCUGCCUUCUAAGCAGGCGGUCGAAGGUUCGAACCCUUCUGCG
rnacentral:tRNA from 1 species